rnacentral:rRNA from 1 species
UACGUAGGGGGCAAGCGUUGUCCGGAUUUAUUGGGCGUAAAGAGCGUGUAGGCGGCUUGGUAGGUCUGCUGUGAAAACUCGAGGCUCGACCUCGAGCUGUCGGCGGAAACCACUUGGCUAGAGUCCGGAAGAGGAGAGUGGAAUUCCUGGUGUAGCGGUGAAAUGCGCAGAUAUCAGGAAGAACACCUAUGGCGAAGGCAGCUCUCUGGGACGGUACUGACGCUGAGACGCGAAAGCGUGGGGAGCGAACAGG